rnacentral:lncRNA from 1 species
GCCUUUGAACCGCAACCCUAAUCCCUAACAAUCAAGGAUGACGAUGCUGAUUAUAACAGUGGUUCUGGUUGUAAUGUUACAGCGACUAAUGUUUAGAUCGAAGGUGAUGGUGUCGUGAAGGAGGGUGUGCGGGAGAGGUGGUUAUUGACGGUGGGUAGGAGCUGUGGAGGUUUUCGUUAACUUCCUCUAUUCCAUUCGGGAUUCGCCUUCGCCUGAGACAAGGGGCUUAUGCCUUUCUGAAGAGCUGACCAAUGCAAAAUGUUUUUGCUACUUUUCAGAAUUAAUUCUGAUUUAUAAUCUUAUCUUUCAGUGAUUUGCCUUCGCCUGAGACAAGGGGCUUAUGCCUUUCUGAAGAGCUGACCAUUGCAAGUGUACUAAAAAGGCCAAGAAUCGAUGGCAGUUGGUUUGUUGGAAUGAGAACUCGGCAUCACAAGCUUACCUGUAGAUGUGAAGUUACCGCCAUUCUUGUUCUAUAUGUCUUCCAAGGUUGCCACUAACUGGAUCCAUUCUUGCUCAUGAGCUGAUGCAUGGUCGUUAUGUCUUAAUGGGUUUCCUCUUGGGUGCAUAUAUAAGGAGACUUAUGUAGAGGUUCUAAGACCAAGCUGACAAUUAUGUCAAACACUAUUGCUGCGUCUCCAUCUGGAUUCUCUGUUGGCCUGUACUGAUGCAAUCAGGUAUGUUAUUCAUGUUUUCCAUUAUGUUUAAACAAAACUGAUCAACAAACUCUUCUUAAUUUUCAUGACCUGAUGCAUGGCUGGUUACGCCACAUUGCUCGCGAAAUCAAAAGUGAAAGUGAAGAUCAUGCAUAAAAUAGAGUCGGAAAUGAAGUUGAAAGCUUUGAGGUGAAUUUAAGCAAGACGGCUUGGAGUUCUAAGUAUCCAUGCACACUUACUUUGAGCUGCUGAAGUUAAAAAGCCAUUGAGUGGAUAAUGUCGUAUCUUGAUGGUCACUAUGUUGUUGGACUGAAUCAAACCACAACAGCACCGGUUCCAACAAAGGAUAUUCGUCCAAAGGCGAACAAGUUGCCGGUAGGACCACGCGUGGUGAGAAAUCUGGAUUUUCCAAGAUGCACUUACGAUGAAAAUUUACCAAUCACAAAGAACUUUAACGCAAUAGGUAGUUGAUAAAAAAGUGUUAGGCAUGCCAUGCUCUAUUAUCUGAUCAUAGUUUUUGCAGCACUUUCAAGUCAAAAAGCAGUGAGUUCAUAGACGUGAAGAAAAUAACCUAUAAAUAGUUUUAGUUUACGUGUGUUGUCAUUUCUCUUUUCAACUUUUGUAGAUAGAUUUUAUCAGAGGUUUGUUAUUAGUCUUAAGUUGAAAACUUAUGUAUGAAUUUUGUUUUAUUAUUGUUAAUAUCAUUU